CCAGCUCCAAUAGCAUAUAUUAAAGUUGUUGCAGUUAAAAAGCUCGUAGUUGGACUUCUGGGAGGAUGCCAAUGUCCGCUUGUUAGCGUGUGCAGCGGCGUCCUUCCAUCCUUCUGUUAACACUUCUCGGCAUUCAUUUGCUGGUUGUGGGCUCAGAUAUUUUACCUUGAGAAAAUUAGAGUGUUUCAGGCAGGCUUGCGCCGGAAUACAUUAGCAUGGAAUAAUAGAAUAGGACUUUAGUCUCCUUUGUUGGUUUGAGGGACUGAAGUAAUGAUUAAUAGGGAUAGUUGGGGGCAUUAGUACUUAAUUGUCAGAGGUGAAAUUCUCGGAUUUGUUAAAGACUAACUUAUGCGAAAGCAUUUGCCAAGGAUGUUUUCA
rnacentral:rRNA from 1 species